rnacentral:rRNA from 1 species
ACUCAUACGGGAGGCAGCAGUGGGAAUCUUAGACAAUGGGGGAAACCCUGAUCUAGCCAUGCCGCGUGAGCGAUGAAGGCCUUAGGGUUGUAAAGCUCUUUCAGCUGGGAAGAUAAUGACGGUACCAGCAGAGAAGCCCCGGCUAACUUCCGUUGCCAGCAGCCGCGGUAAUACGGAGGGGCUAGCGUUGUUCGGAAUUACUGGGCGUAAAGCGCACGUAGGCGGAUUGGUAAGUUGGGGGUGAAAUCCCGGGGCUCAACCCCGGAACUGCCUCCAAAACUCCCAGUCUUGAGGUCGAGAGAGGGUGAGUGGAAUUCCGAGUGUAGAGGUGAAAUUCGUAGAUAUUCGGAGGGAACACCAGUGGCGAAGGCGGCUCACUGGCUCGAUACUGACGCUGAGAUGCGAAGCGUGGGGAGCCAAACAGGAUUAGAUACCCUGGUAGGUGA